GCUUGCUUCUUGGGAUGACUAGCUGGCGGACGGGUGAGUAAUGUCUGGGAAACUGCCCGAUGGAGGGGGAUAACUACUGGAAACGGUAGCUAAUACCGCAUAACGUCGCAAGACCAAAGUGGGGGACCUUCGGGCCUCACACCAUCGNAUGUGCCCAGAUGGGAUUANCUAGUAGGUGGGGUAAUGGCUCACCUAGGCGACGAUCCCUAGCUGGUCUGAGAGGAUGACCAGCCACACUGGAACUGAGACACGGUCCAGACUCCUACGGGAGGCAGCAGUGGGGAAUAUUGCACAAUGGGCGCAAGCCUGAUGCAGCCAUGCCGCGUGUAUGAAGAAGGCCUUCGGGUUGUAAAGUACUUUCAGCGAGGAGGAAGGCAUUGUGGUUAAUAACCGCAGUGAUUGACGUUACUCGCAGAAGAAGCACCGGCUAACUCCGUGCCAGCAGCCGCGGUAAUACGGAGGGUGCAAGCGUUAAUCGGAAUUACUGGGCGUAAAGCGCACGCAGGCGGUCUGUCAAGUCGGAUGUGAAAUCCCCGGGCUCAACCUGGGAACUGCAUUCGAAACUGGCAGGCUAGAGUCUUGUAGAGGGGGGUAGAAUUCCAGGUGUAGCGGUGAAAUGCGUAGAGAUCUGGAGGAAUACCGGUGGCGAAGGCGGCCCCCCUGGACAAAGACUGACGCUCAGGUGCGAAAGCGUGGGGAGCAAACAGGAUUAAAUACCCUGGUAGUCCACGCCGUAAACGA
rnacentral:rRNA from 1 species